GCUGUCAUGGGCCUGCAACAGUAACAGUGGUUUCCGGAACAAAGCAACAGAGGAGGAGACAUUUCUGAAAUUCUCAAGCUGGGAAGCCCACCUAACACCAGGCCCUGCCUUCUGAAGGGAUAUCUGCAUAGACUCAGAACUCUACGGAACGGAAAGGAAGGCUGUGGUUACUUCACCUUCGGAAUGACUCAGGAGCGUAAGCCACCACGGUGACGCAGAGCUUGAUGGCUUCACU